rnacentral:tRNA from 1 species
GGUGGCUCAGUGGUAGAGUGCUUGCCUUGCAUGCAAGAGGCCCUGGGUUCCAUUCCUCACC